rnacentral:rRNA from 1 species
UACAGAGGGUGCAAGCGUUGUUCGGAAUUAUUGGGCGUAAAGCGCGUGUAGGCGGCUUGUCGCGUCGGGAGUGAAAACCUUGGGCUUAACUCAGGGCUUGCUUUCAAUACGGGCAGACUAGAGGUAUGCAGGGGAGAACGGAAUUCCUGGUGUAGCGGUGAAAUGCGCAGAUAUCAGGAGGAACACCGGUGGCGAAGGCGGUUCUCUGGGCAUGAUCUGACGCUGAGGAGCGAAAGUGUGGGGAGCGAACAGG